rnacentral:tRNA from 7 species
GCGUGUAGCUCAGUCGGUAGAGCACUUGACUUUUAAUCAAGUUGUCCGGGGUUCGAAUCCCCGCA